UUGAGUGAUGGUAGAUAUUAGGCCCUGGUCUGCGGCUUGUAAGUUUCCUGUGAAUAAGAAAAACAUCAUCGCUUCUUGAGUCACAAGGAUGAUAGGAUGAGAAAAAGAAAGGACAAAGGCACCAGAGGAGGUGAGAACAUAUGAGAGGCAGGCUGAGAUCAAUUUUCUACCGGGCCAGCUAAUUCAUCACAAUGACAAGCUAUGGGUCAUAUGCUUCCAGGAACCAGACACUGGAACAUGUCGUCUGAUGUACAUCACACCAGUAAGUACUUUCUUAUGUUGAUAUUGAGUCAUUCUUUCAGUGAACAUUUUCUGCGUGCCUAUUGUGUGCCAGUCAUGGUACCACACGCUGGGAAUCCAAUGGGGAGUAAGAGAAAGUCCCUUUUCAAGGAGCUUACAGUGCAGUGGAAGACAGAAGGUCAAAAGGUAAUUCUCAUUUGAUGUGAAAAUAUUUAAAUUCUUCUGUUCACUUAAUUGAAGCGUGGUUAGGCUUUAUACCUGCUCCUGGUCUAAACAGUUCUUUAUAAAGCCCUUUCACGUAGAAACAAAGAAGGCAUUAGUUUACUGCCUGUAAAGAGAGCAGAUCAAGGCUGAGGAAGAGACAGAAGUCAGCAGAUGUCCUGGAAAUGUCACCAAUCUUUUCUGAGAAAAACAAAGGAACCGCUUCUUGGUUACCAGAGAAAUGAAAAAAGAAUUGGAAAGCCGAUGUCCAAUUAUUUACUAUAACAGAAUCCACUGGAGAGAAAUGUAAAGGCAGGUAAAAAGGCAAUCUCUUAACAUGAAAACUCACAACUGUAAAACGAGAACCUAAACCAUACAGCAACAAGCUCAGGAAAAAGUCUCCAGCUACUGCUGUCUCUCAGACUCUCACAAUAUGUGUAACCACUUCCUCCUCUGCACGGAAUCACCCCAGAAGAUCAACUCUACUAGAUCAUUUGAGGACAACGAACAAAGUCUCAAGACUGAAUUCCCACAGAAAACAUUCUCAUGAAACCACCCAAUAUUUUGGUGAAGUUAAAGAAGGGCAUGUGUUCGGAGACAACCAGAAGCAGCAAUGCUCAAAACCACAAAACUCUGGAUUGCCGACUCUGCACAUCCUGGUUUCUCUAGAUACAGUUCAGUGGCACAUUCACAAAUACAUGUUUUCAAAAAGUGCCCUCAGGCAGUUCUAGAGAAACGCUUUGACUUGCCUAAUAGUAUAAUGUCAAGAAAGGAAGACCAGCACUGAUCACUCAUAUUCAUUAUUACAGUCACAGGGCACUGUCUGACUUGACAGAUACAGCCGAGCAGUUGAAAGGUUAUGGGAAUUUAAGUCCAUUAUGGUCAUAUGAUUCUUAUGGACCCAGAGAUGUGAAAUUAAUCAGCCACAUGUGUAGGGACAAAGUUUGUCAUAAAUAGAUAUAAGUUAUCUGCAUGCUAAGAACUUAGAGAGUUACUUAACUCUGUUUCUUCAUGUUAAAAUAAACAUAAUUAUAGAAUGCAAAUGAAAUACUUAGCCUGGAGCCUAUUAUAUAGGAAGCACUCAAUAAUUUUAAACUAUUGAGUAUAUUAUUAGAUAGGCUCCAUAAUUAUUUAUUCCUUUUUCAACAGACAGUAUGAUCUAUUGAAAAUAAAGCCAAACUAGAUUUCUUUGACCCACUCCUUUUUCUGUUUGUACUGUUGGCAAGUUGAUUUAGAACAACUUGCCAACAUAUUAUUAACAUGUUAUUAACACAGAAGGGAUGCUUAUUUUGUUUGCUUCGUAAGAAAUGCUUCUGAUUCAGUAACUGGGCAAUUUAUUCAAAUAUAAGUAAAAAGCAGAUUUUAUUAAAAACUACUUUGUGCUAUCAUAAA